CAGGAAGUCUCUCCUCAGGUUUCCCUUAGUUACCUGGCGCCUCAGGCUCGACCGGAAGGAGCCGGCCGCGAGUGCGGAGGGGAGAGGAUUCCUCUCCGGAAGACCUGAUUCAUCCGCCGCCCUACCAGGCUCCCUCUCCCCCUUCCACCCCUCCAUUGGAAGCACCAGGGGCUGCGGGAAGGGCAUCACCCCUCCCUGACGAAGGAAUUCCUGUGCGUGGGCCAGCAGCAGGGACACGUGGGCGGCCCCACCCUCAAAUACGUGGCUGGCCGACUCCACCACUCUUCCCCUUCGUGCCAUGGGGCCUCCCGACGAGUCUGGAGAACAACCAGUGUUAUAUUGGCCGUUCUCCACCAGUGAUUUAUAUAAUUGGAGAACUCAAAAUGCAAAGUUCUCCGAUAACCCAAAAGAUUUAAUUGGGCUUUUAGAUACUGUUCUCUUUACCCACCAGCCUACUUGGGAUGACUGUCAGCAGCUCUUGGCAGGUUCUCUUCACCACCGAACAGAGAGAACGAAUACAGGUGGAAGCUCGGAAGUCUGUCCUGGGAGAGGACAGACAGCCGACUCAAAACCCAGAUCUCAUAAACGCUGCCUUCCCCUUAUCCCUCCCUACCUGGGACUACAACUCAGCUGAAGGUAAGGAGAGACUCCGGGUCUACCGCCAGACUCUAAUGGCAGGUCUCAAGGCUGCAGCGCGCAAGCCUACUAAUCUGGCCAAGGUAUAUGAUGUAAGACAAGGUAAGGAUGAGAGUCCAGCAGCCUUCUUAGAAUCACAGAGGCUUUUAGGCAGUACACCCCUAUGAACCCAGAAGCCCCAGAAACAAAAGCCACAAUUAUCAUGGCUUUUGUUAAUCAGGCCGCUCCAGACAUCAAAAAGGAAAUUACAAAGAGUGGAGAGGCUAGGAGAGAAGAGCCUGCAGGACUUAAUAAUAGUAGCAGAAAGAGUUUACAAUAAUAGAGAAAGCCCGGAGGAGCAACAGACUAAACUAAGCGACCGGCAGACCCGAAAUCUGGCUAAGAUCCUGCUGGCUACAACCAUGGAUGACCCACAGGAAAAACGGAGGCACCUCAAGAAGCUGACUUCAGGAACAGGUAAGGAGGAUGGCCCUGGUCCCCGACGGGAGCGCCCUAAACUAAACAAAACCAAUGUGCUUAUUGCAAGGAAGAGGGCCACUGGGUGAAAGACUGCCCUAACAAAAGAUCUAAGGCCCCUGCCAAGAUAUUGGAGAUGGAGGACCUGGACGACUAGGGGAGUCGGGAUUCGGUACCCCUCCCCGAGCCUAGGGUAACUCUCAGAGUGGAGGGGCAACCAGUUGAAUUUCUAGUGGACACUGGGGCACAACAUUCGGUCUUACUACAACCCCAGGGGAAAUUGGCAAGCAAGACCUCAUGGGUGCAAGGGCCACGGGGACCAAACAGUACUCAUGGACUACCCGAAGAACUGUGGACCUAGGCAUGGGCCGGUAUCCCACUCCUUCAUGGUCAUCCCUGAAUGUCCCUACCCGUUGUUAGGUCGGGACUUGUUCACCAAGAUGGGGGCACAAAUUUGCUUCCACCCCAGAGGGGCAAAAAUCCUAGACAAAGAAGGGCAACCGAUUCAGGUGCUUGUCCUGAGUUUGGAAGAUGAAUAUCGUCUCCACCAGAUGCCCCCAGUCCAAUUAACUGACAUUGACUAUUGGCUACAGGAAUUUCCUCAGGCAUGGGCAGAAACUGGGGGAAUUGGGCUGGCCCGACACCAACCGGCUAUAUACAUAGAACUAAAACCGGGGGCAGACCGUGUCAGGGUCUGCCAAUACCCCAUGCCUCUCGUGGCGCGAACGGGAAUCACGCCCCACAUACGGCGACUACUAGACUCAGGCAUAUUAAGGCUCUGCCAAUCGGUAUGGAACACUCCCUUGCUGCCGGUGCAAAAACCGCACUCUAACAAUUACAGGCCAGUCCAGGACUUAAGGGAAGUCAACCGGCGAGUAAUUGGAUGUGCACCCCACGGUCCCAAACCCAUACACCCUCCUCUCCACCUUGCCUCCAGACAAAAAUUGGUAUACGGUAUUAGAUUUAAAAGAUGCCUUUUUCAGCCUGCCUUUAGCACUCAAGAGCCAAGACCUUUUUGCUUUUGAAUGGAUGGACCCCGAGAAAGGCAUCAGUGGCCAACUCACCUGGACUCGACUACCACAAGGAUUCAAAAACUCACCAACCAUCUUCGAUGAGGCCUUACAUGAAGACUUGGGUGAGUUCCGUUCUGAGCACCCUCAUUUGACCUUAUUGCAAUAUGUAGAUGAUAUCCUGCUGGCGGCGGAGGACCAGGACACUUGCCUGCGAGGCACCAAGGACUUACUCCAGACUAUAGCAGCUCUAGGAUACCAGGCCUCAGCCAAAAAGGCCCAAAUCUGCAGAGCAGAGGUGAGCUACCUGGGGUACAAAUUAAAGGAUGGACAAAGAUGGUUGAUGGAUGUGCGGAAGGAAACCGUCCUAAGGAUCCCACAGCUGCAAACCGUCCGUCAGGUACGUGAAUUCCUGGGGUCGGCAGGGUUCUGUCGACUAUGGAUUCUGGGUUUUGCCGAGAUGGCCAGAUCCCUCUAUGACGCUACCAGGCACCAACAAAAUUUUGAAUGGACAGAGGCCAUGAAUAAGGCCUUUAAUGACCUUAAACAGGCCUUGCUGUCUGCCUCGGCUCUCGGGUUGCCUGACCUAACCAAGCCCUUCUACCUGUAUGUAGUAGACAAGAAAGGGUGGCAAAAGGGGUCCAGGGACAUAGGUCCCUGGAAAAGACCCAUAGCUUAUCUCUCUAAAAAGCUGGACACGGUGGCCGCUGGAUGGCCCCCAUGCUUAAAAAUUAUUGCCGCAGUGGCCACUUGGUCAAAGACACAGAGAAGAUAGCCAUGGGGCAAGAACUAUAUGCUACCAGCCCACAUGCUAUUGAAGGGGUACUCAAACAGCCCCCAGACUGCUGGAUCAGCAAUGCUCGUCUGACCCAUUAUCAGAGCCUACUGCUAAACCCCACCAGAAUUUUAUUCAAGCCACCUACAACCCUGAAUCUGGCAACACUACUCCCUAACUCAGACUGGGACCCCCCUCUGCAUAACUGUCAAGAGAUUUUGGCACAGGUGCACGGAAUCAGGGCUGAUCUCCGGGACCAGCCACUGCCGAACGCGGACGCCACCUGGUAUAUGGACGGCAGCAGUUUUGUCCGAGAAGGAAUUAGAUACGCAGGGGCAGCCGUAACCACAGAGAUGGAGAUCAUCUGGGCAGAGCCAUUGGCAGCCGGAACAUCGGCUCAACGGGCAGAACUGAUCGCCCUGGCCGAGGCACUAACUAUGGGAGAAGGUAAACGAAUAAACAUUUACACCGACAGCAGGUAUGCCUUUGCCACCACUCAUAUCCACGGAGCCCUUUAUAGAGAGAGAGGGCUUCUGACAGCAGAGGCAAAGACUAUUAAAAACGAAACAGAGAUUCUUGAACUCCUAAGGGCCCUCUGGCUGCCCAAAAAGCAGAUAACACCAGUAGCCAGGACACCAAAAAGCAGAUAACACCAGUAGCCAGGGGAAACCGGCUAGCCGACUCAAAAGCAAAGGAGGCGGCCCUUUCGGUGACCCAGGUUUUAACAACCACGCUACCCGAUCCAGGGGCACUGACCCUGCCGGACACCCCCAACUAUACUGGCACUGACUUAAAAUGGAUUAAACGCUUGCCUAUGACCCAAUGCUUUCAUGGCUGGUGGAGGGCCGCAGACUCCAGCAUCAUCCUGCCAGAGGAACUAGGACGACAAGUCCUAUCCAAAAUGCAUCGGAGUACUCCUAUGGGAACAAGAAAGAUGGAAGACCUCAUACGACAUGCUAAGAUCAUUAUUAAAGACUCUCGAGCAAAGAUCAAGCAGAUUGUGGCAAGCUGUCAUGCAUGCCAGCUAACCAACGCCACCACCCAUGGGCCUAACCCCAGAACCCAACUCAGGGGAGACCGCCCAGGAAUAUACUGGGAAGUAGAUUUCACUGAGGUAAGGCCUGGAAAGUAUGGGUACAAGUACUUGCUAGUUUUCGUAGAUACCUUUUCAGGGUGGACAGAGGCAUUCCCCACCAAGCACGAAACAGCGCAAAUCGUGACCAAAAAGCUGCUGGAGGACAUUCUGCCAAGGUAUGGAUUUCCUGCCAGGAUCGGAUCCGACAAUGGACCGGGGUUCAUUUCUAAGGUAACACAGGGAGUAGCACAAAUACUGGGGGCAGCUUGGAAAUUACAUUGUGCUCACAGACCCCAGAGCUCAGGUCAGGUAGAGAGGAUGAAUAGGACAUUAAAAGAGACCUUAACUAAAUUAGCCUUGGAGACUGGCGGGGACUGGGUCACUCUCCUCCCCUUUGCCCUAUAUAGGGUGAGAAACUCACCAUAUAAGAUGGGACUGACUCCCUACGAAAUCAUGUUUGGUAUACCCCACCUAUCAUUCCUGUCUUGAAACCCAAAGUGCUUGCUGAGUUCAAUGACCAACAACUUCUUUUCUCCCUCCAAAUGUUACAAAGAGCCCAUGAGCGGGUGUGGCCUAAGCUGAGGGCCCUCUACGAGACCGGGCCGCCUCCUGACCCCCAUCAGUAUCGACCAGGCGAUUGGGUGUGCGUGCGGAGGCACCAACAGCAGACGCUCCAACCUUGCUGGAAAGGACCCUACAUUGUGAUCCUGACCACGCCCACUGCUCUCAAGGUCAACGGAAUAACUCCCUGGGUCCACUACACCCACAUCCGGCCAGCUGAUCCACACGCCGUCCUCAAGGACUUUGUUCCGGAAUGGAAGAGUCAGCCCUACAAGGACAAUCCCUUAAAGCUAAGGCUGCGUCGCUCCCACUUACCCUGCUAAUAUUACUUGCGCUGUAUCCCCUCACGGCUAAACCCAACCCCAAACCACUUAAUCUAACCUGGCAAAUCAUCACCCCAAGCUCUAAUCAGGUAGUAACCCAGCUGUCCGAGCUACACCCUAGAGGGACCUGGUGGCCUAAUCUGACUAUUGACUUGUGUGAACUAUUCAGUCAGGACCCCUGGCACCAAGGCAGAAUAGGAAUACCAGGAUGUGGCACCGAGAGGGCCAAGAUGGCCCUCCAAGAUACCUGUUUUUAUGUGUGUCCGGCCCCCUCUCAGUCUGACCAUAAUAAGGCCUCCAAAUGCGGUGGCUGGACAGACUACUUCUGCAAAACAUGGGGUUGCGAACAAACUGGGACAUGCAAUUGGCUGUCACAAAACCCAUCCAGCCUCAUAAAAAUCCAACUGAAUGCUACACACCCCUCAUGCUCGGAACGCCCUUACUGUAAUCCAGUCACCAUUUCCUUCACGGAGACCGGGAAACAAGAAACAAAUUGGGGGGUAGGACUUCUGUGGGGACUCCGGCUUCACCAAAGCGGGUAUGAUAACGGAGUCCUAUUCAUGAUCAGACAACUAGAGAAACCGAAAGGUCAAGGGAAACCCUUGGGAUAGGUCCCAACACUGUGCUAGUACCUCCUCAACCUCAGGCAACACCUGCAGCACACCCUCUGAAUCUUGCCCACAACACCUCCGGUGGUGGCAUCCCAGUCCUGACUCUCCUCUCCCCUCUCCUCCCCCUCAACCCUUCUCAGCACCCUCUUUGGGCCCUGAUGUCCAAGGCUUACAAAUUCCUCAACGCAACUAAGCCCAAUCUUACCCGAUCCCGCUGGCUGUGCUAUGACAUCCGCCCCCCCUUCUAUGAGGGUAUCGCAAUAAUGGGUCAAUAUAACACAACCAUGGACCCUAAUGCUUGCAGGUGGAACCCAAAGCCUGGUAGUAAAGGCCUCACCUUGCAGUCCGUGUUCGGCCAGGGACUCUGUAUAGGCACUCCUCCACACCACCACCAGGCUCUGUGCAACAUUACACAGCCUACAAAUAAUACAGGGUAUUAUCUACCGCCCCAAGACAGUUGGUGGGCUUGUUCCGAGGGUUUAACUCCCUGAGCUCACGGUCAGGUUAUAAACAGAACUGGGGGCUUCUGUGUGCUGGCUCAGCUACUCCCUAGAAUCAUCUACCAUUCAGAUGAGCAAGUACUUCAGUGGAAGGGCACAGAUACCCACGGGCAAAAUAAAAGGGAGCCCAUCUCCGCUAUCACCAUCGCCUCCCUACUGGGAAUUGGAUUGGCUGGCACAGGGAUGGGUAUUGCCUCACUAGCCACCCAGGCCUCCCACUACAGUAGCCUUAGAGCUGCCAUUGAUAUAGACCUAGAACGCAUAGAAACCUCCAUUUCCCACCUCCAAGAAUCCCUAAUGUCUUUGUCUGAACUGGUGCUCCAAAAUAGGAGGGGAUUAGACCUAGUUUUUCUACAACAAGGAGGAGUCUGUGCUGCCCUGAACGAAGAGUGCUUUUUCUACACUGACCACUCAGGGAUAGUACGAGAAUCAAUGGCUAAGGUAAGGGAAAGAUUAGCCAAGCGAAAACGAGAGUGAGAGCAGCAACAGGGAUGGUCUGAAUCAUGGUUCAAUCAUUCCCCCUGGCUGACUACCUUAUUGUCCUCCCUAGCCGGUCCCCUGAUCAUCCUUCUCCUCCUUUUGACCUUUGGGCCCUGCCUCAUUAAUAGACUAGUGGCUUUUGUCAGGGACCUAGUCAAUACAGUUCAACUCAUGGUACUCAGGCAACAAUACCAACCACUGACUCUCUCGACAGAAACCCAGAACCCAUGAUUGGGUCCUGCAUAGAAUCCUCUGGAAAAGGGGGGAAUGUGGGACCCAAGGAAUUUAACAAAAAUCCCCUACCCCUGGACAAGCAGGCAAGACUAACUCCAUUUUGUGCUACACCCACCAUGUCAUGUAUAACCCCCACAUGACCUACUUAUUGCUUAAGACACUCCCCCACCCUAGUCAAGCCGCUGAGCACACCCUUACUGGAAACUGGCUCAUAUAGGAAUGCAGAACCCCUAACCGCCAAAGAAUGUAAACUCCGCCUUUUGCCCGCCAAACUUGCGCGCCAAUUCUGACCAGAGUGAUAGUCUGGUUCAGUUACUAGAGGGUAAAUUGUAAUUCAAUUGGCCACCUGCGUGUGGACUGACAAGACUAUGCAACUUUCUGUGUGUGUUACAAUCUCAUUGGCCACUGGCCCCUAUAAAACUGCUAUGCCUUUUAACCUAGGGGUCCAAGUCCCUGCUCAGCUGUGUCAGGUAUACUUGGGCCCAAGCUCGAGCCUGCAAAUAAACCCUCGUGCGUUUGCAUCGGUA